AUUGAACGCUGGCGGCAUGCUUUACGCAUGCAAGUCGAACGGUAACAGGCCUUCGGGUGCUGACGAGUGGCGAACGGGUGAGUAAUGCAUCGGAACGUGCCCAGAGGUGGGGGAUAACGCAGCGAAAGCUGUGCUAAUACCGCAUGUGAUCUGAGGAUGAAAGCGGGGGACCAGGCAGCAAUGUUUGGCCUCGCGCCUUUGGAGCGGCCGAUGUCAGAUUAGGUAGUUGGUGGGGUAAAGGCCUACCAAGCCGACGAUCUGUAGCUGGUCUGAGAGGACGACAAGCCACACUGGGAGUGAGACACGGCCAAGACUCCUACGGGAGGCAGCAGUGGGGAAUGGUGGACAAUGGGCGCAAGCCUGAUCCAGCAAGGCCGCGUGCGGGAAGAAGGCCUUCGGGUUGUAAACAGCGUUUGUACGGAACGAAAAGGCUCUGGCUAAUACCUGGGGCUGAUGACGGUACCGUAAGAAUAAGCACCGGCUAACUACGUG
rnacentral:rRNA from 1 species